rnacentral:rRNA from 1 species
UUCCGGUUGAUCCCGCCGGAGGUUACUGCUAUCGAGGUUCGACUAAGCCAUGCGAGUCGAGUGUAGCAAUACAUGGCGAACUGCUCAGUAACACGUGGACAACCUGCCCUUAGGUUGGGUAUAAACCCGGGAAACUGGGUAUAAUACCCGAUAGGUCUCGAUUGCUGGAAUGCAUCGAGAUUUAAAGCUCCGGCGCCUAAGGAUGGGUCUGCGGCCUAUCAGGUAGUAGUGGGUGUAGCGUACCUACUAGCCUACGACGGGUACGGGUUGUGAGAGCAAGAGCCCGGAGAUGGAUUCUGAGACACGAAUCCAGGCCCUACGGGGUGCAGCAGGCGCGAAAACUUUACAAUGCUGGCAACAGCGAUAAGGGAACCUCGAGUGCCAGGUUACAAAUCUGGCUGUCGAGAUGCCUAAAAAGCAUUUCAUAGCAAGGGCCGGGCAAGACCGGUGCCAGCCGCCGCGGUAACACCGGCGGCUCGAGUGGUAACCGUUAUUAUUGGGUCUAAAGGGUCUGUAGCCGGCCGGAUAAGUCUCUUGAGAAAUCUGGCAGCUUAACUGUCAGGCUUUCAGGAGAUACUGUCUGGCUCGAGGCCGGGAGAGGUGAGAGGUACUUCAGGGGUAGGGGUGAAAUCUUGUAAUCCUUGAAGGACCACCAGUGGCGAAGGCGUCUCACCAGAACGGACCUGACGGCAAGGGACGAAAGCUAGGGGCACGAACCGGAUUAGAUACCCGGGUAGUCCUAGCCGUAAACGAUACUCGCUAGGUGUCGGCCACGGUGCGACCGUUGUCGGUGCCGUAGGGAAGCCGUGAAGCGAGCCACCUGGGAAGUACGGCCGCAAGGCUGAAACUUAAAGGAAUUGGCGGGGGAGCACCACAACGGGUGGAGCUUGCGGUUUAAUUGGAUU